rnacentral:rRNA from 1 species
GGCCGAUAUCUGAUUAGCUAGUUGGUAGGGUAAAAGCCUACCAAGGCAUCGAUCAGUAGCUGGUCUGAGAGGACGACCAGCCACACUGGAACUGAGACACGGUCCAGACUCCUACGGGAGGCAGCAGUGGGGAAUUUUGGACAAUGGGCGAAAGCCUGAUCCAGCAAUGCCGCGUGAGUGAAGAGGGCCUUCGGGUUGUAAAGCUCUUUUGUCAGGGAAGAAACGGUGAGGGCUAAUAUCCCUUGCUAAUGACGGUACCUGAGGCCUAAGCACUUAAG